AAACUUUCAACAACGGAUCUCUUGGUUCUCGCAUCGAUGAAGAACGCAGCGAAUUGCGAUAAGUAAUAUGAAUUGCAGAUUUUCGUGAAUCAUCGAAUCUUUGAACGCACAUUGCGCCCCUUGGUAUUCCAAGGGGCAUGCCUGUUUGAGCGUCAUUU
rnacentral:rRNA from 1 species